UUUGUUUCAAGCUUGUGCAACCGGGAGGUGGAGGCCGAGGGAGGGCCCGAGCCGCCGGCCGCGGGGUGCGGAAGUUCGCCGCCGCCGUUCAUUGGCAGGCUGCGCCGCUUUCAUCAUUUCUCGCAAAAGUCAAUUUCAUUUUCACUUCCCCAAGUCGAGCUGCGGGAGCAACAAGCGGCAGCCCGUGAGUCUGGCUCGCACCGAGGGGCGCGCAGAACCGCCCCGGCGCUCCGGGGUCGGCGCAGGCUCGCGGAGGCGGGGAGGUAGGGAAGUACCUGCCUCUCCCUCCAGGGGGACCCCGCAGGUGACGGAGGGGCCGCUCACCCUCCCGGGGCAGCAAGGGCGCGCCUGCUCUCCGGUGGGUAGGGAGGUGAUGCUUGCAGCCGCUGUGUGCAGGGUGAAUAAAAGCCUCGCUUUGGAGCAAUGCCCGCAUCAAAGGAAAGAGAGGAACAAUCAGCUGAGAAAUAGCGUGACUGAGGCCCGGACCUUCCUGGCCUACUUAACUGUGGUUGAAGAUGUGAGGGGUCUGCCAGCCCGCCCUCUGACACCGCCUGGAACUCCAUUUGGGAGUUAGGAUGGGAGGGAGGCCUCCCCGCAGUCACAGCAGCACUGCAAGGUCAGUUACCGACGUGUCACCAAAGUGCCACUGAUGCCAGGAAGAAGAAGAAAUGCAGGAUAUGAGUUUGAACUUCUUGCUCCUUGCAUGCAUGGGAUUCUGACUACCCUUGAGCAGCCUCCUCUAUGCACAGUUCCCAGGAAAGAAAUAAUGAGGCAUAGUUGGACAGUUGAUGCCUUCCUUGUGUCUGUGACAGGCAGCUGUCUAAGUGGUGUGCUUUCAUGGGAGCCAGACAAAGCCAUGCCCACAAACCUCCAUCCUGCGUCCUAAUUACCUUUUACCGCAUGUAAGGUCAUUCCUGGAAGCCCAUGAGCUGGGUGUGGAAAACCUCCAGACUUGGGGCUGGACUUCCCUGUUCCUGUUCUUUCAGUGCAACCCUGAUGAAAGCACAAUCAUGUUGCCUUGUUUCAGUAAAAGACAUUGUCUUAAUUAUGGUCUUUGACAAGCAAGAAAUUUUACACAAAAUUUUUCUUCCAUUCGUGUUUGAUGUUUUCUUUCCAAAGGGUACAUUCAGUCAUAUCCUAGUGACCUGUUGAUAUUACAAACAAAUAUCUUGCGCCCUGGCCCAUCCCUAGGUCACUGCUGUCAUUCAGGUAUUGUAGUUCCUGGAAACCUUUCUCCUACCUGUCUCAUACGUUGGACUCCUCCAGGCCAGUGGCUACUUUGCUACCAGAGUCAAGUAGAAAAUAAAUGUCCAGUUGAGGACUUUUCUUUGCCCCCCAAAAACCUCUCUGUAGCUUUCAGAAUGAAAGCCAUAUUAUUUGACAAAACACAAAGUCCUUGUAAUCUCACGGCAGACUUAUUUUGCAGCUUUAUCCUCUGCCACUGCACCCCAUAAGGCCUGCGUCUCUCCCUUGCCAAACUGGCUGCCUUCCUUUAUGCAAAACAGUGGAGAUGGGAGCCACUGCCUUUAUUCCUUGUUUAUCCUGAGGAUAGGGCCGAGCACAUAGGCUCUCAGUACUUGUGAAUUAUUGAUUGCUUGCUCUUUUUAUCAGGUUCUUAUAAAAUAUUUUACACAUUAUAAUAGCAUUUGGUUUAUAUUUUAAUAACUUGAAUAUAAAUGUAACUGAUAUUUAUUUUGCAGCAGUCAAAAAAUCCUGGAAAGGCGAAAGAAGAGACUAAGCCACUUGAAAUCUCACCUCUUGAUUUUGGCAGAAGUGUCUCCACUUCGUCUAUGUGACUGACAGUUCCCAGGUACAACUCCUGGCACUACCCGAUUCACCUUUGGUCUGCUCAUCAGUUCCCACUGGGUUCACCAUGUACCAUCCUGAGAGCUCCAGGGAAGGCUUUAAAUCAGGAGAACAACCAGCUGUGCUCUAACACCGUGAGACCGAAGGAGAGAAGGAAACGUGUAGGCCCAGCAACACCGUGUGCAGGCAUCACCGCUGAGCAAGUUCACGCUGCGAGAGGCAGGCGGAGGCUCCAGGUCAGACGCCGACUUCGUGGGUCCCUCACCAGCGCAGCUGCGCGAGUGUUGUCUCUGUUUUUCUUUGUUUCACUUCCCAUCUUAAUUUUUUUAAAAAAUGCCUUUUGAACAAUACAGAACGAGCAGAACUGUGACCGCGUUUCACAACAUAGGCAGUUGAUGUCAUGCUUUUUUGACACUUUAUGACAAUCGUUUUUUUCCUAAUUGAGGAACAGGAAGAGCACUAUCUCUGACCCUUUCGUCUCUCACAAUGCUUCUUUUUAACUGGCCGCCUAUAUACAUUUUUUUGUUUCUGGAUAUUUUUUGUUUACCAUGAACUUAUGUGUAAAAUAGUGGGAAAUAUUUAUGUUAUACAUUAAGGAUAAAGGGAAAAUUAAGUUCUAGAUGUAUGAAACCAAGAAGAUGAUCAUACAAAAUAUUAAAGAGAAGUUGAUUAGGAUAUUCGCAGUGGUUGCCUGUGAAUGACGAGACUAUGAGUAGCUUUUUUUGUCUUGAAAUUUUUUUUUACCAUUUUUGAGAAUGGAUUUUUAUUACUGUAAAAUUUUAGAUAACUUUUUAAAGAUAACUGAUAGGUAAUUUCAGAAAUUUACUCUGAUACUCUUGUGAUUUUUAUGUAUAAAUUACUUGUAACUUUUAGCUGUUUAUUUCCAUAGUUAUGUUAAAAAGAAAACACUGAAGUUUAUAUCCAAGGUCUUAAACUAUAAUUUGUUGAGAAUUUUUACAUCUAUUUAUCUUCAAGUGACAUAGAAGAUCUCCUAAACAUGCUAUGCCCUUUCUCCUAGCAUUUUCUUAAAAUAUUUACUUUUCAAAAGGAUUUAUUCCUAACAGUUCAAAUAUUGUUUGUCCAGAGCAACAUACAAUGUAUAUGAAUAAACUUGGAAUUUAGUGGUCCUGAAAUAUAAAAAUAAUUCACAAAUCUUUUUUAAACUUAAAAAUGUUUUAAACAUGCUAUUUGAAAAAAAUGAGAAUUCAAAUAAAUCGGUAUAAAUUAAAUAAUCUUUAAUUAUUAAUUUCAUUUCGCUUAUAUGCAAAUUCUACUUGCUAUAUUAUUAGCAAUAAAUUCAAAUUGUUAGAUCUCAAAUACAAAUGAGGACUAUCGCCUAUUUUGCUUUCUUGAUUUCCAUAUAUAACCAGAUUAUCAGAAUGAGAAAAAGAAGAAUAUCUCAUUUGGGCAAUGAGGAAAAGGACUCUCUCUCUCUCUCUCUCUCUCUCUCUCUGUCAUGCACACACACACACACACAGAGAGAGACAAGGUAGUAGAAGGCUCUUUGUACCCUUGUACCCAUAUCCUCAUUUGGAAUUGAGAACAUUGUUUUCUCACAGAAACACUGAUAUUAUAAGUGUGUGGUUUACCUUUGCUCUGAGUUAAAAGUAAGUUGAGGAGUGAUCUGGGGCUACACACAUUUAUUACAUUGUGUACAUGGGUAAAUUUCAUUUGCAUCUAAGCCGCUAUUUUCAGGAGUCUCCGUGAGAGCACACCAAAGGGCUGGGUCUGGGACCAUUUGUCCACCACAGUGCUGUGCUCAGCACUUCGGAGGAGGACAGGAGAAAGGAGGAUUGCUUCCUGAUCCCAGCGUGCUUGCAUUGUACACUGGGAGAAAAGCCUGCAAUGACAGGAUCAUUGCUGCAAGAUGAAAAGUUCCUGGGUGUCUUCAAAGUCUGAUGCUCGAAGGUGUUAUAACCAACUUGAGUUCUGGUGAGGAGCAAAUCCAAUUUCUGGCUCAUCCCCUUGAGAGUCGGCUCUCCCUAACUUCAUUUCCAAGCUUCCCUUCCUGACUGCCAGCAACAGGCACAGAUAAUAUCACCACUCAGUACCUCAGUAGGAUCAUCCAGUGCAUAGAAGAUGGUGGUUGAGGAUUAUCAAUAAAUAAUACAUUAAAUAGCAAGGGACAUGAUCACUUUUGCAAGUCCUCCCACCAUUGUGAUACCAUCACCAGAAACUUCACCCACUUCUCUGAAAGUGCCCUUCAUCCGUGAAGUUGGAGCCAGGAGAGAUCAAUAUGGCAGGACACGUUGGUUUCUGAUCAUCCUAUGGGUUCCAUCUCGCUCGCUGUCUUCCAUCUUCUCCUCAUGAAUCUAGCCCUGAUGAUCUCAAGCCCAGGCCUGGAUACGUGGUGACAGACUGUAGCAAAUGCUCAAUCAGCUCCUAUGACCAUGUAAGCAUUAACCUUUUCAAUAAAGUCCUUAUUCUGA